rnacentral:lncRNA from 1 species
UCUUCCUCUGGCGCCCACAGUAAACAGCCCGAGGAAUAACCAGACUGGUCCCUCGCUCAGCCCUUCUUCUUCACUCGGCAUCCGUUGACACGGAGAAUUCUCACACCUGUCGCCAUAUCGCCGCCUCCUUAUCUUCUUCUUCUUCUUCUUCUUCUUCUUCGUGUUCCUCUUCUUCUUUGCUGGACUGGUGGAGUGACUCAGAAACCCUAGAUCUUCUUUGUCUUGUUGCUCUCACUCGUGCUCUCCUUCGGGGCUGCUUCAUCCCGAGGCUUUGGCCAAAAUGGCGACGGUUGCUUCGGCGACCGGGUUCCGCGCGCAGAUUCACCUCCAGCCCCGCUCGUCUUGCUCGCCGUCCGCCUCGUCCUCUUCGUCGUCGUCAUCCGCUUCUUGCUCAUCGUCUUCUCUCGUAAAUAUCAAUUGGAGAGUCGCGCCCGCCAGAGCGCCUCUCCUGCAUUCUGAUUUCCUCAACAAUGCCUCGGUUCUACCGCUCCGAUCGCU